rnacentral:pre_miRNA from 1 species
GUUCCAUAGACAUUUUGGCAUUCUGUCCACCUCCAUUGUGUCACAAAGCAUGCAGUUUGGAGGUGGCCAGAAUGCCAAACGGGCUCUGUGUA